rnacentral:rRNA from 1 species
ACGCUCGACACCUACGGGAGCAGCAGUCGGGAAUAUUGCGCAAUGGAGGAAACUCUGACGCAGUGACGCCGCGUAUGGGAAGAAGGUUUUCGGAUUGUAAACCAUUUUAGACAAGGAAGAAACAAGACAGUACUUGUAGAAUAAGCUCCGGCUAACUACGUGCCAGCAGCCGCGGUAAUCUGAGGCGGGCUGGCAAGGC